rnacentral:rRNA from 1 species
GUCAUCCCGACUUACCAACCCUUUGCAAACUCCGAAUACCAGUAAGUACUAUCCGGGAGACACACGGCGGGUGCUAACGUCCGUCGUGAAGAGGGAAACAACCCAGACCGCCAGCUAAGGUCCCAAAGUUAUAGCUAAGUGGGAAACGAUGUGGGAAGGCUCAGACAGCCAGGAUGUUGGCUUAGAAGCAGCCAUCAUUUAAAGAAAGCGUAAUAGCUCACUGGUCGAGUCGGCCUGCGCGGAAGAUUUAACGGGGCUAAGCUAUACACCGAAGCUGCGGCAAUGUGCUACGCACAUUGGGUAGGGGAGCGUUCUGUAAGCCGUUGAAGGUGCAUUGUAAAGUGUGCUGGAGGUAUCAGAAGUGCGAAUGCUGACAUGAGUAACGACAAAGGGAGUGAAAAACUCCCUCGCCGGAAGACCAAGGGUUCCUGUCCAACGUUAAUCGGGGCAGGGUGAGUCGACCCCUAAGGCGAGGCCGAAAGGCGUAGUCGAUGGGAAACGGGUUAAUAUUCCCGUACUUCUUACUAUUGCGAUGGGGGGGACGGAGAAGGCUAGGUGAGCCUGGCGACGGUUGUCCAGGUCCAAGUACGUAGGUGGAUGAAUUAGGCAAAUCCGGUUCAUCAUUAACACUGAGAUACGAUGUCGAGCUACUACGGUAGCGAAGUCAUUGAUGCCAUGCUUCCGGGAAAAGCCUCUAAGCUUCAGAUAGUAAGAAAUCGUACCCCAAACCGACACAGGUGGUCGGGUAGAGAAUACCAAGGCGCUUGAGAGAACUCGGGUGAAGGAACUAGGCAAAAUGGUACCGUAACUUCGGGAGAAGGUACGCUCUUAAUGGUGAAGUCCCUCGCGGAUGGAGCUGACGAGAGUCGCAGAUACCAGGUGGCUGCAACUGUUUAUUAAAAACACAGCACUGUGCAAAAUCGUAAGAUGACGUAUACGGUGUGACGCCUGCCCGGUGCCGGAAGGUUAAUUGAUGGGGUUAGACUUCGGUCGAAGCUCUUGAUCGAAGCCCCGGUAAACGGCGGCCGUAACUAUAACGGUCCUAAGGUAGCGAAAUUCCUUGUCGGGUAAGUUCCGACCUGCACGAAUGGCGUAAUGAUGGCCACGCUGUCUCCACCCGAGACUCAGUGAAAUUGAAAUCGCUGUGAAGAUGCAGUGUACCCGCGGCUAGACGGAAAGACCCCGUGAACCUUUACUACAGCUUGGCACUGAACAUUGACCCUACAUGUGUAGGAUAGGUGGGAGGCUUUGAAACGCAGACGCCAGUUUGCGUGGAGCCGUCCUUGAAAUACCACCCUUGUAGUGUUGAUGUUCUAACUUGGCCCCAUUAUCUGGGGUGAGGACAGUGCCUGGUGGGUAGUUUGACUGGGGCGGUCUCCUCCCAAAGAGUAACGGAGGAGCACGAAGGUGGGCUAAUCACGGUCGGACAUCGUGAGGUUAGUGCAAUGGCAUAAGC